GAGUGCCCUCGCCGAUGCGGUGGCGGCGUUGGCCUACUCUCUCUCCGUCCAUCCGCGUUGACUCGACGAUGGCGGCGGCGGAUGCCCACCCCUGCCCGUCCCCCCUCCAUCUGCGUCGCCUCGAGCGUCGGCCAGCAGCAUAUCCCCACCACGCGCAGAUCGACCGGCUGCCUCGCGUCGACGCCGCGCCGCGGCAGACCCGUGGCACGGCGGAGGCUGGGCCGGCCCUCCGUCCCGUUGUGCCUGAGCUGCCUCUGCGGCGUCGAUCCGCCUGCCGCCCUCUCCCACCUGCUCCACCGUAGGCCGAGCCCCUGCCUCACCCGCCGCCGCGCCACUCCCGACUUUUUUUCACCGCAUCCACCGUCACACGUUUGAAUCCCGACGCCGGCCGCUCCCAAUUAGUUGCGAAAGAGCGAUAAUCUUGGACAGACUAGAAGUUAUUUAGAAGGAGCCGGAGGUCAGAUCAGGAGGCAGCACACAGCAAGAUGAGUUUCUCGUUUAGGCUUUGCAAUCAAUUUUUCCUCAACAAUAUCCCCUUCCGUCGCGUCGGAGCCCGCCCGCCCGCGAGCUACUCCUGCCGCCGCUCGUUUCCGUUUGCCUGCCGCCGUCCGUUCGCCGCGCUCGUCGUCCCUGCCUCCACGCCCGCUCGCGAGCUGCUCCUGCCGCCGCCCGCUCGCCGCCCCGGCCGCCGCGACGCGGACGCGAGAGGCCUGGUCGCUCGGGGUCACCUGCGCCGUCCAGCCAACCCACCGCGCCGCCCCACAAGCGAGUAAAUCGUUCCUGCUUCUCUUCUGUAGCGAGUAAAUCAUGGGUGUUUCUCCAGUUGAAUUUGCAUUAUAGUUAUUGAUUCUUCUUUACCUGCUUGUGAAUGCUUGACGGCAUGAUUUUCUUUUUUAUUUAUUUUGGCCAGGUCUAGAUUAUUACCCUGAUUCCUCUAACGUGUGAAUCUGAAGUAAACAAACUGAUCCAAUGUUUCUAGGUUUUUUUUCCUUAUAAGAAUGUUUAGGUAGUAUUGAAACUACAAUUAUUCUUUAGGGCUGAGGACGAUAUGAACUUAGUAUCUCAGGCCUAGAUGAAUAAAUAGUAUGAUAUUAUAUUAGGAUCUGUAUGUAUGAUGUCAAAUAGUGAUUGCAUUAGUGUGCAAAAUGUCAAUUUUUGUCUACAUGGGAGGAGUAAUGGCUGAAGUGAUCUAUGUGCUCCUUACAAUUUCAUCUUGUAGUUUCUUUCAUUACUAUUUCAUCGUCUCCACCUUACUUGAAUACAGGCCGUGCAACUCCUCAUCCCAUCUAAUCUCUUGUGCUCUUGUCCCACUAUGAGAUCACAGAGGUGCAAAAACGUAGGUUGCUCAAAGGAAAUUCUAUGGUGGCUACAAUAUUCAGGUUAUAAUGCCCACAGGUAAGCUACAGGAACUACUUUUUUUUUUGACUUAAAGUGGCAGAACAGAUGAAUGCAUAUUACUCUACAAGGAAUCUGCAAUUUUUUAUACUCUUUGGAAAGACAUGACAUACCUAGCAACUAGCAGCCAUGGUGAGUAUUGUUUUUGGUUUGUCUAUAUCAUAUGGUGUUUACAAGUAAAUAUUGCUACACUAACUAACCUUUUAGAUUAAUAUCUAUUCUAUUUGCAAUUUGCAAAGUUCUUUAGUAAAUAUUUACCUUUUAGAUUAACCUUUUAGUUUAUAUAAUAUGGUGUUUACAAGUAAAUAUUCUUUUGUUCCUCCUCCUAGAAAAUAUAGAAUAUUGAUUUUGACAUCUGGGUAGAAUUCUAUAUGCUUAGGCUUUUUUAAAGGUUGCAAAGUUGAAUGUACUAAAUGGAGAAUCUUCACUUAAGUCAGCUUCAAUCACUCUUUAUAAUUUUGGAAUUCUGCAAGAAUUAUCCUCGUAAUAUAUUUGACUUUUUAAUCUUAUUACGUGUCUGAUACUGCAUAUACCAGAGGAAAAACUUAAAAUGGUGAUGCUGUAGGAGAGGGAGGGUUGCCAGAAAUCCGAAUUUGAAGCCAAAUUAAGGCAGGCUGAUGUUAGUUUCAAAUUUCUAAAUUUUAUACUGUUGGGAACUCUGAAUGAGCAAUAUUCAGACAAAACACGGCUUAGAUUGAAUUCUGAAUUGAUAUCCCUCUUGCAAA